UGUAAUUUGUUAAUCACAAGGAGUUGUGAUUGUGAGAUACAAAUUACAUCUGAUUGAAUCUUAAAUCUUCCGUGGUCGUAAGUAAUAACGAGAUACGGAUAUCGUUAUUACGGAUAGACCAUCACAUGUGGCAUUUCUCACUUGUGAAGUAAGUAACUGAUCUCACAAGUUAAAGUGUGGUGACACUUAAAUGAACAUGUGGAUGUUUUGUUAUAGAACAAAAUAUUGGAGACCCGUCGAGAGAUUCCACAUGGAUAACUAUCUGAGUGUCGGUGGUUAAUCUCUAACGUUCGGUAGUGAAAUUGGUCCUUUGACUUGAGGUCGUCAUGGUACCUUAUAUGAGGACAGUCAUACUUUGGCGGUGUUGGAUGUUGCUCUGAAAAGGGCCGCUAAUACGACAUCGUUCGGGUACGUCAAGAAUCGUAUGAAGGUUGUGAUUGAUCAAUAAAGGAUUCGUCACUCUUAGAU
rnacentral:lncRNA from 1 species